GUGAGGAAUAUUGGACAAUGGGCGCAAGCCUGAUCCAGCCAUGCCGCGUGCAGGAAGACGCAUCUAUGGUGUGUAAACUGCUUUUGUACGGGAAGAAACACUCCCUCGUGAGGGAGCUUGACGGUACCGUAAGAAUAAGGAUCGGCUAACUCCGUGCCAGCAGCCGCGGUAAUACGGAGGAUCCAAGCGUUAUCCGGAAUCAUUCGGUUUAAAGGGUCCGUAGGCGGUUUAAUAAGUCAGUGGUGAAAGCCCAUCGCUCAACGAUGGAACGGCCAUUGAUACUGUUAGACUUGAAUUACAAGGAAGUAACUAGAAUAUGUAGUGUAGCGGUGAAAUGCUUAGAUAUUACAUGGAAUACCAAUUGCGAAGGCAGGUUACUACUUGUGGAUUGACGCUGAUGGACGAAAGCGUGGGGAGCGAACAGGAUUAGAAACCCGUGUAGUCC
rnacentral:rRNA from 1 species